rnacentral:rRNA from 1 species
AUUGAACGCUGGCGGAAUGCUUUACACAUGCAAGUCGAACGGCAGCACGGACUUCGGUCUGGUGGCGAGUGGCGAACGGGUGAGUAAUGUAUCGGAACGUGCCCAGUCGUGGGGGAUAACGUAGUGAAAAUUACGCUAAUACCGCAUACGAUCUAUGGAUGAAAGCGGGGGAUCGCAAGACCUCGCGCGAUUGGAGCGGCCGAUAUCAGAUUAGGUAGUUGGUGGGGCAAAGGCCCACCAAGCCAACGAUCUGUAGCUGGUCUGAGAGGACGACCAGCCACACUGGAACUGAGACACGGUCCAGACUCCUACGGGAGGCAGCAGUGGGGAAUUUUGGACAAUGGGCGAAAGCCUGAUCCAGCCAUUCCGCGUGCAGGAUGAAGGCUCUCGGGUUGUAAACUGCUUUUGUACAGAACGAAAAGGUUUCUACUAAUACUAGGAGCUCAUGACGGUACUGUAAGAAUAAGCACCGGCUAACUACGUGCCAGCAGCCGCCGUAA